AUUGAACGCUGGCGGCAUGCCUCACACAUGCAAGUCGAACGGCAGCACGGGAGCAAUCCUGGUGGCGAGUGGCGAACGGGUGAGUAAUGUAUCGGAACGUACCAUUGAGUGGGGGAUAACGUAGCGAAAGUUACGCUAAUACCGCAUAUACCCUGAGGGGGAAAGCAGGGGAUCGCAAGACCUUGUGCUCUUUGAGCGGCCGAUAUCAGAUUAGCUAGUUGGUGAGGUAAAGGCUCACCAAGGCGACGAUCUGUAGCGGGUCUGAGAGGAUGAUCCGCCACACUGGAACUGAGACACGGUCCAGACUCCUACGGGAGGCAGCAGUGGGGAAUUUUGGACAAUGGGGGCAACCCUGAUCCAGCCAUGCCGCGUGAGUGAAGAAGGCCUUCGGGUUGUAAAGCUCUUUCGGCCGGGAGGAAAUCGCAUCAGCUAAUACCUGGUGUGGAUGACAGUACCGGAAUAAGAAGCACCGGCUAACUACGUGCCAGCAGCCGCAGUAC
rnacentral:rRNA from 1 species